UAGUUUUGCACACCGCCUUAGGCAGCAAGGAAAGGAGCUCCACGCGCGUCCCCCUUCCUAGAAAGAAGGGGGGUGCGCGGUAUGAAGGUUAGUGCUGGAUUGUUACCGCUAUGGUUGUGCGGUAUUUCUUUCUCAAUUCUCCACACCUUAGAGUCCAUCUCAAGAGGGAUUUUGAGGAUUAUCUCCAGAGGUUUCAUGUCCUAAAAUCCUCAGGUGGUUGCCGCACAAAG
rnacentral:lncRNA from 1 species